rnacentral:piRNA from 1 species
UGAGCUUAAGGUGAUCCCUAUGAAAUGCUU